rnacentral:rRNA from 1 species
UAGGGAAUCUUCCACAAUGGACGCAAGUCUGAUGGAGCAACGCCGCGUGAGUGAAGAAGGUUUUCGGAUCGUAAAGCUCUGUUGUUGGUGAAGAAGGAUAGAGGCAGUAACUGGUCUUUAUUUGACGGUAAUCAACCAGAAAGUCACGGCUAACUACGUGCCAGCAGCCGCGGUAAUACGUAGGUGGCAAGCGUUGUCCGGAUUUAUUGGGCGUAAAGCGAGCGCAGGCGGAAUGAUAAGUCUGAUGUGAAAGCCCACGGCUCAACCGUGGAACUGCAUCGGAAACUGUCAUUCUUGAGUGCAGAAGAGGAGAGGGGAAUUCCAUGUGUAGCGGUGGAAUGCGUAGAUAUAUGGAAGAACAACAGUGGCGAAGGCGGCUCUCUGGUCUGCAACUGACGCUGAGGCUCGAAAGCAUGGGGAGCGAACAGG